CAUUAUAUCCACAAUGAUGAGAAGAAUCUACCAAUUAUUACAGCCGAAGCAAUUCAGAAUGUGGUCAAGAAUGAGAUUGGAUAUUUGACAGCAUGGACAUUUGUAUCAGAAAAUUGGUCAGAUCUGCCCAUUAGGUUCACACUGAAUGUUCUCAUGACCACUAUCACUACUGACAUUCAAAUGCAAAUGAUACAGGUUUUGCUUAAUAAUACCCUUGAACCUGAAGAAAAGGUAGUGGCUACAGACAUAAUGCUGAAAGAAAAAUCUGAAAAUGAAAAAAGAAAAAAAUCAAUGACCAAAACGAUCAUGUGGUUAAAGGAAAAUAUGGACAAUUGACAGUUGAGAAAUUUCUUUUUUUAAAAAAGAUAUGUUCAUAGCAAUUAAAAUUUCCUGGGUUAUUUUGGAUAUACAUAAAAUUGUUUUCCUGUGCAAGCAAUAAAAUAUCAUUCAGUGGAAAGCACAAAAUGCUGGUAUUAAAUAAAUACUGUUUUCUCCCAGGAGUACAAAAUUUCUACAAAAACAUUUGCAUAUUUUGUGGAAUUCUUCCUCUGUAAGAAUGCACUUCCAAAUGCUAUGUAAAAGGAACUUCAAGGAAUAUUAUAUAUUAAGGAGAUUGAACAAAGGAAAUUUUUUAUGUUUGAAAUGAACUGGAAGCUAGAUGACUCUGUUGUUCUCUGAUGUGCCUUAGGAAAUGGGACUCAAACACUUUCAGAACUAUAGCUUUUUUAUUUUUUAAAUGAAAAUGAUGACAAUAAAAUAUAAACAUUUCAUUAUAAGAAUAUAUCACCUGAAAAUGUUUUUCUCUGUAGUGAUCUAUAAAAAGUAUAUGUUUUUAUAUUA